AACGAACGCUGGCGGCAGGCUUAACACAUGCAAGUCGAGCGCCCCGCAAGGGGAGCGGCAGACGGGUGAGUAACGCGUGGGAAUCUACCCAUCUCUACGGAAUAACGCAUGGAAACGUAUGCUAAUACCGUAUACGUCCUUCGGGAGAAAGAUUUAUCGGAGAUGGAUGAGCCCGCGUUGGAUCAGCUAGUUGGUGGGGUAAAGGCCUACCAAGGCGACGAUCCAUAGCUGGUCUGAGAGGAUGAUCAGCCACACUGGGACUGAGACACGGCCCAGACUCCUACGGGAGGCAGCAGUGGGGAAUAUUGGACAAUGGGCGCAAGCCUGAUCCAGCCAUGCCGCGUGAGUGAUGAAGGCCCUAGGGUUGUAAAGCUCUUUCACCGGUGAAGAUAAUGACGGUAACCGGAGAAGAAGCCCCGGCUAACUUCGUGCCAGCCGCCGCGGUAAUAC
rnacentral:rRNA from 1 species